AAAUUGAAGAGUUUGAUCAUGGCUCAGAUUGAACGCUGGCGGCAGGCCUAACACAUGCAAGUCGAACGGUAACAGGAAGCAGCUUGCUGCUUGGCUGACGAGUGGCGGACGGGUGAGUAAUGUCUGGGAAACUGCCUGAUGGAGGGGGAUAACUACUGGAAACGGUGGCUAAUACCGCAUAACGUCGCAAGACCAAAGAGGGGGACCUUCGGGCCUCUUGCCAUCAGAUGUGCCCAGAUGGGAUUAGCUUGUUGGUGAGGUAACGGCUCACCAAGGCGACGAUCCCUAGCUGGUCUGAGAGGAUGACCAGCCACACUGGAACUGAGACACGGUCCAGACUCCUACGGGAGGCAGCAGUGGGGAAUAUUGCACAAUGGGCGCAAGCCUGAUGCAGCCAUGCCGCGUGUAUGAAGAAGGCCUUCGGGUUGUAAAGUACUUUCAGCGGGGAGGAAGGUGUUGUGGUUAAUAACC
rnacentral:rRNA from 1 species